GACGAACCGUCCAAACGUUAUUCGGAAUCACUGGGCUUAAAGGGUGCGUAGGCGGCCCGGAAAGUUGUGUGUGAAAGCCCUCGGCUCAACCGAGGAAUAGCGCGCAAAACUACCGGGCUCGAGGGAGACAGAGGUAAGCGGAACUUAGGGUGGAGCGGUGAAAUGCGUUGAUAUCCUAAGGAACACCAGGAGCGAAAGCGGCUUACUGGGUCUCUUCUGACGCUGAGGCACGAAAGCUAGGGGAGCGAACGGG
rnacentral:rRNA from 1 species